AUUGAACGCUGGCGGAAUGCUUUACACAUGCAAGUCGAACGGCAGCACGGACUUCGGUCUGGUGGCGAGUGGCGAACGGGUGAGUAAUGUAUCGGAACGUGCCCAGUCGUGGGGGAUAACGUAGUGAAAAUUACGCUAAUACCGCAUACGAUCUAUGGAUGAAAGCGGGGGAUCGCAAGACCUCGCGCGAUUGGAGCGGCCGAUAUCAGAGUAGGUAGUUGGUGGGGUAAAGGCCCACCAAGCCAACGAUCUGUAGCUGGUCUGAGAGGACGACCGGCCACAAGGGAACUGAGACACGGGCCAGGAUCCUACGGGAGGCAGCGGUCGGGAAUGUUGGACAAUGGGCGAAAGCCUGAUCCAGCCAUACCGCGUGCAGGAUGAAGGCACUCGUGUUGUAAACUGCUUUUGUACAGAACGAAAAGGUUUCUACUAAUACUAGGAGCUCAUGACGGUACUGUAAGAAUAAGCACCGGCUAACUACGUGCCAGCAGCCGCGGUAA
rnacentral:rRNA from 1 species